rnacentral:rRNA from 1 species
UACGAAGGGGGCGAGCGUUGUUCGGAAUCACUGGGCGUAAAGGGCGCGUAGGCGGCCCUUCUUGUCGCGUGUGAAAUCCCCAGGCUCAACCUGGGAAGUGCGCGCGAAACUGGCGAGCUUGAAUGCCGGAGAGGGUCGCGGAAUUCCCGGUGUAGAGGUGAAAUUCGUAGAUAUCGGGAGGAACACCAGUGGCGAAGGCGGCGACCUGGACGGACAUUGACGCUGGAGACGCGAAA